rnacentral:lncRNA from 1 species
GGAAAGGAGUGAUUGCUACUGCUUGCAUAAUACACCUAAAUACCCAUCCUUUACACACCCCUGGUCGGUCUGGCAGCUGAGCAAAAGCGGGCAGGAAGGGGGUGCUCCCGCAUAUCACAAUGUUUAUCCCUCGUUCAACGAAUUGUAAGCUUAUGCAGCUCAGGCUUUGCUGUUGGCGCGCGCAAGGGGCGGCGUUAUAUACCUAGGGAGGAGCGGGUAUGCCCCUGCUGCGGCACUGAUAGCCAUAUUGAAGAUAAGAAGCACGUUUUGCUCGACUGUCCGGCGUACGACAAAAUCAGAUCUGAUAUGGAUAUUCCGCGCUUCGAACAUAUAAAGGACGCUAUAAAGUGGGAACCUGAAGGUCUGCCAAGGAUGCUGGAACGUAUAUGGUCCCACCGCAACUCCAUCGUUCCCUUUGGUC